CGGGUAAGUUCCGACCUGCACGAAUGGCGUAAUGAUGGCCAGGCUGUCUCCACCCGAGACUCAGUGAAAUUGAACUCGCUGUGAAGAUGCAGUGUACCCGCGGCAAGACGGAAAGACCCCGUGAACCUUUACUAUAGCUUGACACUGAACAUUGAGCCUUGAUGUGUAGGAUAGGUGGGAGGCUUUGAAGUGUGGACGCCAGUCUGCAUGGAGCCGACCUUGAAAUACCACCCUUUAAUGUUUGAUGUUCUAACGUUGACCCGUAAUCCGGGUUGCGGACAGUGUCUGGUGGGUAGUUUGACUGGGGCGGUCUCCUCCUAAAGAGUAACGGAGGAGCACGAAGGUUGGCUAAUCCUGGUCGGACAUCAGGAGGUUAGUGCAAUGGCAUAAGCCAGCUUGACUGCGAGCGUGACGGCGCGAGCAGGUGCGAAAGCAGGUCAUAGUGAUCCGGUGGUUCUGAAUGGAAGGGCCAUCGCUCAACGGAUAAAAGGUACUCCGGGGAUAACAGGCUGAUACCGCCCAAGAGUUCAUAUCGACGGCGGUGUUUGGCACCUCGAUGUCGGCUCAUCACAUCCUGGGGCUGAAGUAGGUCCCAAGGGUAUGGCUGUUCGCCAUUUAAAGUGGUACGCGAGCUGGGUUUAGAACGUCGUGAGACAGUUCGGUCCCUAUCUGCCGUGGGCGCUGGAGAACUGAGGGGGGCUGCUCCUAGUACGAGAGGACCGGAGUGGACGCAUCACUGGUGUUCGGGUUGUCAUGCCAAUGGCACUGCCCGGUAGCUAAAUGCGGAAGAGAUAAGUGCUGAAAGCAUCUAAGCACGAAACUUGCCCCGAGAUGAGUUCUCCCUGACUCCUUGAGAGUCCUGAAGGAACGUUGAAGACGACGACGUUGAUAGGCCGGGUGUGUAAGCGCAGCGAUGCGUUGAGCUAACCGGUACUAAUGAACCGUGAGG
rnacentral:rRNA from 1 species